GGGGAAUAUUGGACAAUGGGGGCAACCCUGAUCCAGCAAUGCCGCGUGAGUGAUGAAGGCCUUCGGGUUGUAAAGCUCUUUUGUUAGGGACGAUAAUGACGGUACCUAACGAAUAAGCUCCGGCUAACUUCGUGCCAGCAGCCGCGGUAAUACGAAGGGAGCUAGCGUUGUUCGGAAUUACUGGGCGUAAAGGGCGCGUAGGCGGUUAUCUAAGUCAGAUGUGAAAGCCUUGGGCUUAACCUGAGAAUUGCAUUUGAUACUGGAUAACUAGAGAUCGAGAGAGGUAAGUGGAAUUACGAGUGUAGAGGUGAAAUUCGUAGAUAUUCGUAAGAACACCAGUGGCGAAGGCGGCUUACUGGCUCGAUACUGACGCUAAGGCGCGAAAGCGUGGGGAGCAAAC
rnacentral:rRNA from 1 species